AGAGAUGGAUUGGUGCCUUCGGGAACUCUGACACAGGUGCUGCAUGGCUGUCGUUCAGCUCGUGUCGUGAGAUGUUGGGUUAAGUCCGUAACGAGCGCAACCCUUGUCCUUAGUUACCAGCACGUUAUGGUGGGCACUCUAAGGAGACUGCCGGUGACAAACCGGAGGAAGGUGGGGAUGACGUCAAGUCAUCAUGGCCCUUACGGCCUGGGCUACACACGUGCUACAAUGGUCGGUACAAAGGGUUGCCAAGCCGCGAGGUGGAGCUAAUCCCAUAAAACCGAUCGUAGUCCGGAUCGCAGUCUGCAACUCGACUGCGUGAAGUCGGAAUCGCUAGUAAUCGUGAAUCAGAAUGUCACGGUGAAUACGUUCCCGGGCCUU
rnacentral:rRNA from 1 species